GGGGCAUUAGUGUAGCGGUUAACACGCUUCCCUGUCACGGAAGAGAUCGCCAGUUCGAAUCUGGUAUGCCUCGCCA
rnacentral:tRNA from 1 species